UUACCAUUCUCUGGGCCUAAAUGAAAUGAAAGAUUAGGUCUAGAAGAAGGGAGAGGGAGGACAGAGGAAAUCAUGUCCUGUCUCUCUGAGAUGCUACCCCAGCCCAGGGCUUGAAAUGGAGAACUGAGCACCCAAGACCCAAUAACUGGUUGCAUCACACAACCUAUAUACUGAGGUUAUCCAAAAUGUAAUCCAUCCACUACCUGUGUCCAAAUCUCCUGGGACCUUUGUUGGAAUACCACUUCCUAGGACCUACUCCAGGCCUACAGAUUCAGAUUCUCUGAAGAUGACACCCAGGAACUGGCAUUUUAUCAAACACCCCAGAUGUUUCUGAUUCAUCCCAAGGUUUGAGAACAGCUUUGGGAGCUCAGUAAAAAUAUAAAGAUCAACUGCAUAUUUAUUUACUUCAUGGAAAUAUAAUUUUCUGUAAGAACCUUGAAAAUUUUUAAAUGAAUAAUAUAUUUAUCCCAACAACUCUAAAGGUGAGGCAGUCCCAUUUUCAAAAUGAAAGAAAUCAAGUCUUAAAAUACAUAUGACAUGUUCACCCUUUACACACAGUCAGGAAUCAACUGCCUUGCACUUAGGAAGAGAGUGAUAAAACAGUCAUCAUCUCACUGAUUAGGAUAUUGUAUACUGUAAAUCUAAUCCAGUUGAUUAACUCACCUUUGUAUCCAAUUCCUAGUUAAUUUUAUCUUGUGGGGGAAUGGCAUUUUUCUAAAUUUAUAACUUCAAUAUGCUCCUUAGUUAUGAACAGACUCCCUGACUCAACUACUAAUUUCAUGUUCAGGACACUCUUUUAUUCUUCUUCUAUACAACCCCCAGAAAAGGUAAAUUUUUAGAUAAAUUACUUCCUUUUCUUCCUCCUCUCCACUGGUUAAAGCCAGUCCCCUAGUCAAUUCUCUCAACUGCUAUCCUACCAACUCAAAUUUUGGAAAUGAAAAUGUAAAUUGUAAAAAGAAACCUAAUUGUUGAACAAUUCCUUGUGAUUAAGCAAAUACCUCUAAUCUUUCUCUGGUUUAGCAGUCUCUCUUCCUCUGCUUCUUGGGACUUGUCCCAAGCCUAAGGUGUCCCUGAAACUUGAGGAUCAAGUACUCAAGGCAGCAAUUCAUCAGUCUCAGGGUUUAUUGGAGUCUCCCCAUUUGGGAGAGCUCUGAGAGUUUCAUCACCUUGGAAACAACAGCAGGCUCCCUGAAUAUACACAGGGAGUAUAGAUUUUUAAGCACCAAAAGUAAACAGGGUUUAGUUAUCCCCAAAUGUAAGAGUCACGAUUCAAAACUGUCACUGACUCGGAAUCAUCUUUAGUCAGGAAUAGUAUCUUCAAGCUGACAAGUUCCAAAUAUGUGUACUUAUGCUAACCAAACCGGUAGUUGGGGGAAAGCUCAAAAAUAACCCAUCUUUAUCUUUAAUUUUUCUCCUAAAAAUGGAAUGGCUUUCACUGAAACUGGCCAGGCCACUGCCAAUACAGUUACCACUGGUGUGUAUGGAACAGUCAAGUUACCUAUGUCGUUUGCAGAAAUCCUGAUUUUGGAAACGGCCUUUGCGCAGGCUGCCCCUUCUGCCCUAAUGCCUCCUGUGGAUACUCACAUGACUGGCUCUUCUCAUCACUGGUUUGCCUCAAGUGUCAGCUCUUCGGAGUAACCUCCCUCCAACACCAAGUUGCCAGUGACAUACAGAUCUACCCUGAAGAAAAACCAAAGUAAGACUAAUGGACCUCGAGGGGAAGAACAAUCCAAUCAACAUAAGUCAGUAAAAUGAUCCAGUGAUAAUAACUCAUACUUUCAAGAGGCAUGGAGAGUGAAGGUCAGGCAGGUUAAAUGAGAAGCCACUUUCCUCUCCUAUCUGGCAGAGAAGUUGUCAUUGCAUAGUGAAAUAAAUGCCUGCCUAUUUUAUUUAUUCUUUCCGUGUAGCUAAAUCUAUCAGUUUCCAUGGUGCCCCACAUUCACCAUGGAAACUCUGACAAGCUCGUUAUGCUUUAGGGAAAAAAACACACACACCAAAAAUCU